rnacentral:rRNA from 1 species
UACGAAGGGUGCAAGCGUUACUCGGAAUUACUGGGCGUAAAGCGUGCGUAGGUGGUUGUUUAAGUCUGUUGUGAAAGCCCUGGGCUCAACCUGGGAAUUGCAGUGGAUACUGGGCGACUAGAGUGUGGUAGAGGGUAGUGGAAUUCCCGGUGUAGCAGUGAAAAUGCGUAGAGAUCGGGAGGAACAUCCAUGGCGAAGGCAGCUACCUGGACCAACACUGACACUGAGGCACGAAAGCGUGGGGAGCAAACAGGG